rnacentral:rRNA from 1 species
UACGUAGGUGGCAAGCGUUGUCCGGAAUCACUGGGCGUAAAGCGCGCGCAGGCGGCGAUCUACGUCUGGGGUGAAAGCCCGGAGCUCAACUCCGGGACUGCCUUGGAUACGGGAUCGCUUGAGGAUUGGAGAGGCAAGGGGAAUUCCACGUGUAGCGGUGAAAUGCGUAGAUAUGACAUAGAACACCAAUUGCGAAGGCAGCUCGCUACACGAAUAUUGACUCUGAGGCACGAAAGCGUGGGGAUCAAACAGG